UUUUAUUUUUGGAGAUGGAGUCUUGCUCUGUCACCCAGGCUGGAGUGCAGUGACAGAAUCAUAGCUUAGUGCAGCAUUGAACACCUGGGCUCAAGCAAUCCUCCUGCCUCAGCCUCCUGAGUACCUGGGACUACAGGCAUG